AUGGUUGUCGUCAGCUCGUGUCGUGAGAUGUUGGUUAAGUCCCGCAACGAGCGCAACCCUCGCCUCUAGUUGCCAGCAUCGGUUGGGCACUCUAGAGGGACUGCCGGCGACAAGUCGGAGGAAGGUGGGGAUGACGUCAAAUCAUCAUGCCCCUUAUGACCUGGGCUACACACGUGCUACAAUGGGCGGUACAAAGGGCUGCGAACCCGCGAGGGGGAGCGAAUCCCAAAAAGCCGCUCUCAGUUCGGAUUGCAGGCUGCAACUCGCCUGCAUGAAGCCGGAAUCGCUAGUAACCGCGAAUCAGCAGGUCGCGGUGAAUACGUUCCCGGGCCUU
rnacentral:rRNA from 1 species